rnacentral:snoRNA from 1 species
GUGCCUGUGGGAUGAAUAGGUCCCAAUAUUUACCACCAUUUCAUUCACUUUGUCAACUAAAACUCAUGUUUUUAGCUGAUCAUUGCGGAUGGGAAAUAC